rnacentral:rRNA from 1 species
CAGUCGCCACGGGAAUACAGAGGGUGCAAGCGUUAAUCGGAAUUACUGGGCGUAAAGCGCGCGUAGGUGGUUCGCCAAGUUGGAUGUGAAAUCCCCGGGCUCAACCUGGGAACUGCAUCCAAAACUGGCGAGCUAGAGUAUGGUAGAGGGUGGUGGAAUUUCCUGUGUAGCGGUGAAAUGCGUAGAUAUAGGAAGGAACACCAGUGGCGAAGGCGACUGACUGGACAAGUAUUGACGCUGAGGUGCGAAAGCGUGGGGAGCAAACAGGAUUAGAUACCCCCGUAGUCCCUGUCUCUUAUAC